rnacentral:lncRNA from 1 species
UGAGUUGACAAAUAUAGGAAGGGGUGAAUUGAGGUACUCUUAAUUUUCUUUUAUUUUCUCUCUUGAGUCCCACUCAAUAGCUUGAAGAAUAAUGUCAAUAAACUCUCUAAAACUUAAUGCCCUUAUGUUUUCAUUUGAAAUCUCUUCAUUUAUAGUCUAAAAAUAUCCAUAAUUAAUAUUCUAGCCAUUACAAGCUUGAAAAUGCCAUAAGAAAUAAAUUUUGGCCACUUAAAAAAAUUUAAAAAACUAGCUGUUAUUCUAUCAGAAUUCUAU